GAUGAACGCUGGCUACAGGCUUAACACAUGCAAGUCGAGGGGAAACGGCAUUGAGUGCUUGCACUGAAUGGACGUCGACCGGCGCACGGGUGAGUAACGCGUAUCCAACCUUCCCGUUACUGCGGGAUAACCUGCCGAAAGGCAGACUAAUACCGCAUGUUCUUCGAUGACGGCAUCAGAUUCGAAGCAAAGAUCCGUCGGUAACGGAGGGGGAUGCGUCUGAUUAGCUUGUUGGCGGGGCGACGGCCCACCAAGGCGACGAUCAGUAGGGGUUCUGAGAGGAAGGUCCCCCACAUUGGAACUGAGACACGGUCCAAACUCCUACGGGAGGCAGCAGUGAGGAAUAUUGGUCAAUGGGCGGAAGCCUGAACCAGCCAAGUAGCGUGCAGGAUGACGGCCCUACGGGUUGUAAACUGCUUUUAUGCGGGGAUAAAGUGAGGGACGCGUCCCUUUUUGCAGGUACC
rnacentral:rRNA from 1 species